rnacentral:rRNA from 1 species
GUCUACGCCGUAAACGAUGGAUACUAGCAGUUUUGGGUAUCGACCCCCAGAGUUGCGAAGCUAACGCGUUAAGUAUCCCACCUGUGUAGUACGAUCGCAAGAUUAAAACAUAAAGGAAUUGACGGGGACCCGCACAAGCGGUGGAGCGUGAUCUUUAAUUCGAUGGUAAACGAUAAACCUUACCAAGGCUUGACAUCCGAGGAAGGCUCUCGAAAAGAGAACUGUGCCUUUGGGAACCUCGAGACAGGUGAUGCAUGGCCGUCGU